AUGAAGCUUUUUUGAGAUAUCUUCAAUCUACCCAGCCUACCACAGCAACAUCUUCAUCUGCAAUUAGUGUUCCAUCCUCAAUUGCAUUGAGUGUUCCAUCUACAUCUGGAAUAAUUGUUACAUCUUCAGCUGCUACAAGUGUCCCACAACCUCCACAACAAUCAACACAACCUUCUGCUGGUAAAUUUAUGAUUUAGAAAUGUUGCUGAAUGAUUAUUUAAUUCAUUAUAUUUUUAUUUAUAUUCACAAAUUAGUACAUUUAUAUUAUGUUAUCCUUCA
rnacentral:lncRNA from 1 species